AUAAUGGAAUUGAUUAAAUGACGUGAAUGCAGGAAAAAAAGGCAGCGGUAGUGACUGCGUCGGCGCAGGUAUGAUCAACAUGAGUAAUGAUCGAGAUGUACAUACAUGCUUAUUGACGUUUCAUCACAGUGCGUGAGAUGUACGUCAAUAAACUUGGGUUACGGGAGGGGAGUGGCUUGACAAGGAAAGGACCUUGGUUCCACUUGAUGUAUGUAAGAUAUCUGACAUUGUGAUCUUUAGCGCUAAAGAUUCCAAUUGUGAGGAAAAUUUACAAAAAUAAGACAAUGAUUGGUUACUUUAGCAUUCAUAAAAUUUUUUUAAGACCUGUGACCCCCUAAGGAGCUGGGAAAGUUACUCACCAUUUUGCAGUGAUGAUCGUUUGUGCCGCAGAAGAUAAAGCUUGGAAAGUGCCUCAUAAUAUGAGGCGUUACAUAUAAUCCCCGCUGGCUAAGAGAGUAACGCUGGGAAAAUGCCACCACGAGCUUAAAAAUUUUCCACUGUGUCAUUCACUCAGCUUGUGUUGGUGGUCCGAUGGAGCGCACGUGAUAGUAUCCUGCUCGUCCACUUCCAAUACGAGGAGCCUGAGUGUCAAGGUGAACCUCCACCGAAUUGUAAGAAAUGUUUUCCUCACUUUUUUUCACCGGCGUCAUAGCCGUGACCCCCUCUAUCAAGAGCUCCUUGCCAACCGAAAUGCGUUUUACUUUAUCGCUGCCCCUCGGCGCCGAGGUCCCGCGGCCUACGGCUAACCGCGUCGGGUACAAAGAUUCCUCCGGGGAUGACGCACUUUGGGCCCUAUCUGGCGGCAACCGGUCUGCGCGCCAGCGAGCGGAGGGUCUCCGCCGGCUGUUGGAGGGGGCGCUAUAUAUUCAGCGGCCCAGCGGGUCGUCGUCACGAACAGCUCAGCUCAGCUCUCCGUCGAACUUCCAUGCCACUUUGGGCGGCCGCCGUACGCACGGUCCAGUGUCACCGAGGCAUCCAGUGAGCACCACACACACAGCACAAUGCUGAUUGGGUCGGCAUCCAGGUACAUCGCGGGCCGCGGAGCCGUGCAGCGCAUCUACUGGCGAACCAGCGACAGCCAGAAGGGCGCGAAGCUCGUAAAGUACGGCCGCGUGCUCACCGUCAGCCGCGCAGACGCCGACGCCGCCAGGGCCACGCCGCCGCGACGCCUCGCCGGAGACGUCCUCAGUCCGAACGCCGUCCACUUUCUCUAAGGGGCUGGACGCAACCCGGGCUGCAGCACGCAUCCGACUGCAGCACGGAGCAGGUACGGGGCCAAGACGUCGUGACUGCUCCGUAGCGGACUAUGGACACCUCAGGACUGCCUCGUGAACACCUCACUCUCCACCAGUCUUUCAAGUUCAGAAGCAAACAGAGACUUCGCUUCAUCGUUUUACCUCUUAGUAUUUACAGAGCAGCUAACUCGCAGUUGCUUUCAUUCACAUUUCUCACGUAAUGAUCAAAAUGUGGUAUUUCCUGUUUUUAUUUAAUAGCGAGUUUCAUUCAUGGUUUGUUACUGCAAAUCGAUGAAUUGCAUCUCAUUUUUGCAUCAUCUACCAUACUUUUAUUUAUGAGCUGUGUUUGUGCAUUUUUGUUGUUGUAAUAAAACAUUUUCGAUUAUA